rnacentral:rRNA from 1 species
CAGCACCUCAAGUGGUCAGGAUGAUUAUUGGGCCUAAAGCAUCCGUAGCCUGCUUUGUAAGUUUUCGGUUAAAUCCAUGUGCUCAACGCAUGGGCUGCCGAAAAUACUGCAUAGCUAGGGAGUGGGAGAGGUAGACGGUACUCAGUAGGUAGGGGUAAAAUCCUUUGAUCUAUUGAUGACCACCUGUGGCGAAGGCGGUCUACCAGAACACGUUCGACGGUGAGGGAUGAAAGCUGGGGGAGCAAACCGGAUUAGAUACCCGGGUAGUCCCAGCUGUAAACGAUGCAGACUCGAUGAUGCAUUGGCAUAAUAGCCAUUGCAGUGUCGCAGGGAAGCCGUUAAGUCUGCCGCCUGGGAAGUACGUACGCAAGUAUGAAACUUAAAGGAAUUGGCGGGGGAGCACCACAAGGGGUGAAGCCUGCGGUUCAAUUGGAGUCAACGCCAGAAAUCUUACCCGGAGAGACAGCAGAAUGAAGGUCAAGCUGAAGACUCUACCAGACAAGCUGAGAGGUGGUGCAUGGCCGUCGCCAGCUCGUGCCGUGAGAUGUCCUGUUAAGUCAGGUAACGAGCGAGAUCCCUGCCGCUAGUUGCUAUCAUUAUUCUCAGGAAUAGUGGAGCGAAUUAGUGGGACUGCCGUUGUUAAAACGGAGGAAGGAAGGGGCUACGGCAGGUCAGUAUGCCCCGAAACUCUGGGGCCACACGCGGGCUGCAAUGGUAGUGACAAUGAGUUCCAAACUCGAAAGAGAGUGGCAAUCUCUAAACGCUACCACAGUUAUGACUGAGGGCUGUAACUCGCCCUCACGAAUAUGGAAUCCCUAGUAACCGCGUGUCAUUACCGCGCGGUGAAUACGUCCCUGCUCCUU